GACACAGAGUGUAACCAGAUCUGGUUGGGAAAUGGGUACAAGCUGGCAUUUCUUUCACCUAUUUGAAGUGUUUUCAGUUACCAUUAACCUUUCCCAGCAGGCCUUUGAUGAAGCAUGCCUGUCCAUGAGGAUACUGCCCACAAAAACAGAACCCAAGAGCUGCACAUCUGACCUGAUGCCCUCCUGAAGUCCCAGGCAUCCAAGCACUUUUGAAAGUGAAUCGGACUAUCAAAGCCAGGCUCAGCCCUAAACUCAGAGUGUCCUUUCAUGUGGGCCCAGCCUGGCAGGGUCCUAUGGCUGAGCACAGAUAGGACCCAGCCGUGCAGGCUUUGGCACAUGUCCAAGUCCCCAAACUCUGGGGGUGCUCUGCACAGCCACGUGUGUGUGGUCUUCUUGGGAAGGGUACAGAGGACCUGCCUGGAGGCCAUGUGGGUGGGAACCCAGAGGAGGCCCGAAGCAGCUGGCAUUUUGAGACCUCCCCCACCUGUGUCUGGCAGGAGAGAGAGUUUGGCCCUCCACAUCCGUGUUCACCCUCCAUCUUCAGCUGGAAAAGGGGCCCGGUGGUCAUCUGGUGCUUCAGGGCGCUUGCCAGGAACUGAAACGAAGCAGAAGUCCUCACAGCAAGCAAGCCAUACGUUAAAGCCAUUCUUUUUCACCCCAGAGAAAUAGUGAGAUGACUUGACAUUUCACAUAAUUAAAUUUAGAACGGCUUGCAGACUCUGUAGCCCCACCCACGUCAUGGGAGGCUUCAUUUAAGUGGAACACACACACCCUGACUCAGCUUCACAUGCCCUGGAUCUUGAGAGCACUUCCUCUUAGGCCAAAAUGUAAACAUCUCCAAGUGACUGAUUAAUACAAGGCUGAGAACAAGGUCACCUGACAGCCUAGACUCCAAUGUCAGUCUUCACUGAAUCCACCCACCCACCCUCACCCACUCCCUCUUCCCACACCCUUGUAUGGUCCUACGGAGUAGUAGGUGGCACCUCCCUUGUAUUUCCGAGUGACACAGAGUCAGAGCACACUCAGUGUCUGAGAUCACCUGAGCGGGAGAAUGUGAGUUGACAUCAUAACAGUUACUGGUAAACGCUGGAGUCAUGCCCUCUUAAUCCUAGUACUUCUCAUUACAGCCUCAUUAGUUAUCUUACACCAGCGAGGGACAUGAAAGCUCAAACAGAGUUAUGUCACCUGUUCAAGCCCACGCACCCACCUGUCUGAAUGCACACAUGUGCCUUUUGACCACUGGGUAUCAGUCACAAACUCUGCCUGCCACCCAUGAACAGAGGGAUGAGAAGGAGGUGGAGCUAACGGCUCUGAUGCCACCACUAGGAGUAGUUGUCUCUGAUCUCCUGUAAGGGCUGGGGAGAGGGAGAGACUGAGGGAGGUAGGAGACAACAACAGGAAAUCAAAUGUUGAAUUUUAUUUUUAAAACAGUCACCACCCAUUUGCUAUGAGCAGGGUGCAGUGAUUCUUAAGAUUCCCUUUGUAAGGAACGCUAUACAGAGUGGGUGGGAAUGUAAAUUAGUUCAUUCAUUAUGAAAGACACCAGGGUUUUUAUUUUUUAAAACUAGCAAUAAACCUACUGUAUGAUCUAGUAAUCCCAUUACUUGGCAUAAAUCCUCAGGAAAUGAAGUUAGCAUGUCAAAGAGAAAUCUAUACUCCUUUGCUUACCUCAUCACUGUUCAUAAUCAUCAAAAUAUGGAAGCAACCUAAACAGCCAUCAACAGGUUUAUGGGGGGGGGGAGAGAACAUGGUAUAUAGUAGACCUGAUGGAAAAGGAUUCAGCCUUGAAAAAAGACCAAAACAGGAAAUCACAUCAUCUUCAACAAGGUAGAUGAAUUUGGAAGACAUCGUGCUAAGUGGAGCAAACCAGGCCAUGUGAUUGUCAACCGAAUGGAAGAGCCAAAAAAUUAGAAAUCACAGAAGUGGAGAAUAGGAUGGUAGGUGCCAAGGCCUGGGACAGAGGGAUUGGAGAGACAUGCUGAGGAAACAGGGUGUCAGAUGGAUGGGAGGAACAAAUUCAAGAUAUCACCAGUACACCGUGUGACUGUAAGAUGCAUUCCUGGCACCUGCUGAGAGUAGCGUUUUAAUUCUCUUACCGCUAAGUAAUGAUGUGCUAAGUAUCUCCACGGUACCAUUCCACCAUGCACGCCUACUUGAAACAACAUGCUAUGCGCGUACAGCAACUAACAACAGGUGGAUGAAAGUUCCCCUUUCGGAACAUUGCUGCCGACUUCAGAGGAAGGAAUCUAACGAAAGAGGAGCAGGUGAGGACUCCCAUAACCUAGCUGUGACAAUUCCAGCCUGAAGAACCAUGAGUCCUUUAAAACGUCUUCAUCCUCACAGGCAGGGCUGUCUCUGCUGGACCUGAUUUGACCUUCUAAGGACAGCUCUCUCCUGCCUUGCAGGAUUCCUUUGACUGAGAACAGAGCCGUGGGCAGCCAUGAUUAAUGUGUUACUUUCUCUUCCGUAGACUCAGCUGUAGACACUUGGAUUUCGGUUCGCAUCACAGCCCAGGCAUCUAGUCUUUUCAGCCCCUGCUCGUUUUCUCCACUCCAAAGCUUAAGGGUGCAUUUAUUUAGCCUUUCCUGUGCUUCCUUGUGGAUAUUGGUUAACUCCAGUUGUGUCGAGAUGUGUGACUGUCAACCUUCUGGUCCAGCUAGUUUACGUCUCAUCGAACUACAAACUCUGUGCAGGUGAGAGAUUCAGAACAGGCAGUGCUAUAGACACCACGCUCAGACAAGACUGCGGUGCUCCAGGCCAUAAGGCUGCUUUACCUUCUGAUGAGAAAGACAAGGAAAAGCCAAAGGGGUGCCAUCUGCCUGGCAGGAUGCAGACAUGUCUGAAGAAGUGAAAAAAAUGAAUUACAUGAAGAUCCCUGCGUUUUAGCCUGAUCAGACUCAACAGCGUCUGUUUUAACAGCGGGUGAGACCAGGUCUGUGGUAACUGCACCGUUCUGGGAUUCAGCUGAACAUCCCAUCUGCGUUAACCUCUGUUUCCUACAAAUAAGAUCUGCUCCUGCUUCCUGGGCAAAUGGUUUCUGGGUCUUUAGUCGUCCCGUAUUAGCCAGAUGCAGAGUAGAGAUCCUAUCAGAAAUCAUUUCUCAGAGCCCCCAGAAUGUGGCUGCAUCUCCGAGGCUGAACUGGAUCCAUUCCCCCCUUAAAUCACCGAGAACAGCCGUCUGGUUUACCCACCCUGCAGAAUCAAAUUCCUGAGCUCGGCAUGAGUCCCACAGGAGGCUGGGCAUUGGUGGCACACGCCUUUAAUCCCAGCACUUGGGAGGCAGAGGUAGGCAGAUCUCUGUGAGUUGAGGCCAGCCUGGUCUACAGAGUGAGUUCCGGGACAGCCUCCAAAACAAUACAGAGAAACCCUGUCUUGAAAAAAAAAAGAGUCCCACGGGAACUGUGAUGACUUCUUGCUGGUUUGCUCUCCCUUCUUUCCAUGCUCCCUGGCAUCCUCAUUUGCUUUCUCUGCUAACACAGAUCCCAGACUCGGCAGGACCCGUGCUGUGCCCGUUCCUCUCUGCUGAACUAACCCAUGGGUCCCAGGGGCUGUGAUGGUGUUGAGUUUCUUAAAGCAGUCACCCUGCCAAGGCAUUUCAAGGAAGCCUCGGACCCAUCUCUAAACACCUCCAUACCUAAGCGCAUCACAGCCUGCAGCUUUGUUGAGCGGGAGAAUCUACACAGGUCACUUCCUCAGGCCCCUCUGUGCUUGGUGCUGUUCCAGUGAUUGCAUUCCAGGGUAGAGCAGGGGAGGAGACACUGUCAAUGGACAAGUAAACAAAGCAAGCUGCCGUUCAAACCCAGGCGCCCUCUUUCUGCCCAAUCAGCAAAGAGCAGAACCCUGGGGCAUCCUGUGUCCAAUGAUACCAGUCCCCUUUCGUGGAGUUCUGGUUUGUGACAGACUGUUUCAUAAGCUGUAUCAUAGUGGCCUUCAUCAAAUCCAAUGAUACUGGAACAAACCUCACCCCUGUCCAAAGAUAAUGAGAUUCUAGAACUUCAAUACUAACCACGGUCUACAGCUGUCAGGGACUGGACAAUCUGACCUUGGGGCCCCGCCUUUCAACAACUGGCCUCUAUUGCCCUGAGGGAGGGUACCUUGUGCUUCAUUCUAGGAGCUCACAGAGCCUGGGCUGUCCCACGGGGCAAACAGAAGUGGAACCAGGCGUGGAGACAGCCCAGUUGGCUCUAAGCUCUGUAUUUGAUUGGGGGGUCUAGCGGCUAUCAUGUGUGCCUGCUGUGGGGACAGUCCUUUAUUAUUAGGCUGUUUAACACUCAGGACAUCCAUCCUUGCCGUCACAGUUGACACUGCAGGGGCGAAUCUCCAAGGGGCCACACAGCUAGUGAGUAGCCGAGCCUGACUAGAAGCUGAGAGAUGCUCCUCUGCCUGCCACGUUGUAUUGUUGGAUGGCUCACAAUGAGUGCCUCUCCGUUCUCUUGGGCACACCUCCACUAUGAAGGGAAAUGCCCCCCUUGUAGCCCCCAGGAGCAUCAUAUGACAGUCCCAGCCUGGGGCAUAUCAGCAGACGUCCAGUAGUGGCUUCCGCGGGACCCGUGCGUGAGCUUUCCUGAGAAUAGCGCAAUGGGCUCCGCCUCUUGACACCCUGUAGCUUUCGGUAGAUGGUGUGCCUCAGGGAAUGCAACCCUCCAGCAGGGUCCAAGACCAGCUCCGUGCUUCUGAGCGUAGGCAACACACUCACCGGGUUCCGUGUAAAGCCCUGUGAAGCUGGCCACACUCAUGCUUUCCCGUCGCAUAGGCCCACCGGAGCGAGCGUGGGAGCCUAGCUUCUUGCCCCGAUUGGGGUGCAUUGCAUCGAGUGCUCUAGAAGCCUCGAGCUACAAAUUCACUCACUUGCUGAAGUGAAGCUUAUGGGUGGCUAUAGUCUGUGAAAUGGGUGCUUCAUUUCCCCAUACUAAGGUGUGAAUAGCAGAUCUGCCACGGAUAGGAAACAGCCCUGGUGGUCCUUCUGGCGACAAUGGUGUCAAGGACACCAGCUUCCCCCUAAAGCCCCUCAGGAACCCGCCAAACACAGGAGAAAGCCUUCUCACGGGGAGAGAGAGAGAGCAGGGCCUUGUAGGAGUCAGAGGAGAGGAAACAGGAAGCUGCACUCUCUCUCCAUGGCCAGUGUCGAGUUGGCCGUGUCCCUCAUUGGCUACUGACAAGACUUCACUGUUAACCGUGCGGUUGGGGCUAGGAACAAAAUCCCAUCGUGACUGACUAUCCACAUGGUACUGGAGAAGAUCCCCCAGCUAUCACCUGGCUACCAACAGUGCCUCAGGCCUGAAUUGUCACAAGCCCAAAUCACACAGCCACCCCACACAGGUGAUAGAUACACAGGCUUCUCUUUGACAAGAACGGGAGGCUCCUUGUCACGGGGUUUUCUUCAGACCUGGCAUGGACACCUUGCCGAGUUCUCGGUGAGCUCCUCUAUGGCAGCUGUAGUGUUUCCAGAUUCACAGCUUCCCGUGGAGGGCAGGCGGCUGGGAGUGCACCCCAGUCAGGUUCAGUUCUCCAGCUAUGACAGAUGACCUGUUUAAAGGGCUAACAUGCCCGUCAAACUCUCCACCCGGGCCCCCAACUUCCCCAGCACUAACUUUUUCCUAUCUUACAAAGUCAAUGCCCUGGGUCGGAUCAAGACAAAGGGGGGGGGGGUUCAAGGAGAGAGCCAACCCAUGGGAGCCAGGGCCAUGUGAGGCUCCAUUUAGCCUUAUGAUUUGAUACUGAGAUUAAAAUAUUGAAUGCAAUAAAUUUAACUCUAAGUCAGACAACACCGAAAAGGAAAAAAAAAAAAAGAAGAAGAAGACAUUUUUGGUCUAUCCAAGCCUGGGCAGACUUCUUAUUAGUCAAGAGUGUAAGCCAUAAAUCUCCUUGUGGAUGUGAAUGCAAGGCACAUGACACCCCGUGCUGUCUCCUGCUUCCAGAGAUGGCUGAUGGAUCCUCUCCCUCACAUUUAUUUCAGCCGUUAACAUGGCAUGGUAGACGCUGAACCAGACAGAAAUAGAAGACAAAGCUUGGGCCUGUCAAACGGUCUUAACACAAUUCCAAGAGUCCCGCCACCACGUGGACGCAGCAUCGCCCAGGGACCCCGUUGGGCUGCAGAUGCUGAGAUGGGAACCAAAAUGGAGGUGGGGAGGGGAAGGAGCCAGGAUGGGCAGGCAGAGUAUGGGCUAAGGGAAUAGAAUGGCUGCUGUGGCUUUGCAAGGGGAAGACAGUAAGAUGCCUCUUCCAGGCAGGAGCUCUGGAAAUCCUGGGGGGUUAUAAAAAAAAAAAAAACAGGGAGAGUUUGGAUUGUUCCAGCAGGCUGCUAGUGGUUCUAACAGUUGGAGCAGAGGCAAUAUGGCCAUGACCACCCUCAUCUCCACUCACCCCAUGUAGUCCAGCUUGAAAACAGUUACUGAUGCAGAAAUGCAUCCUUGUCAGCCCCCGGCCUAUACACAGAUGUGGUCCUGGAUACCCAGGCCAGGAUACCAAGCUUCAAGACUAAUGGAGCUCUGGGAGGCAGACACAGUCAGAAAGUCAGGCUUGCAGGAAAACAGAGUCUCUCGCUCCUUGAACAAUUGUUUUCUAUUGCUGUUUACUUUUCUCCUUGAAAAGCAAUCUACGGAACAGGGUGAAAACGUCUCCAAAGUCCAUUGCAAUCCAUCUCUAGCUUAAUUUCCCUCCUAAUGUUUGUGUAGUUCCCAGCCGGUGCUAUGCCCUCAUUAUCCUGCUGCUGCUGCUGCUAUUCCCCUGGGGUCUGCUGCCUUGUUAGGGACUGCACUGACUCAUUUAGGGGCUAGAGACAGAAUGACAGAGCCAGGGUGUCGAGGGAGUGGCGCCCUGGCACCCUAGGAAUGAAUGCAAUAUGGCCUCAUGUAUUCUGGUCCCCAAAGUGGGCUUCCUGUAGCUCUGUGGAUUUGUCACUUGGACCCCAGUUUCCAUUCUACUCUGAUGGUUGAAUGACAUGUUACACUCUGGGCAGACUUGGGGCACAGAGACCUGCUUGUCUUGUCUUCAGCUCUUGAGCCAAGACAGCUCCUUGGUUUGAACCUUAGAUCGAAUCAUUUGCUGUAUGGCCUUGGACAAGUCGUGUUAACUCUGUAUACCUCAGUUUCAACAUUUCGCCGUUGAAAACCAGCAGCACAGUGCCAUCUUCAUUAAAGAAACCAGCGGACAAAAUUUCCCGGAAGGAUGAUGAGCACGUAGUUAGAUCAGUGUUGGCUGAAAUUGUUUUAGUUGUUAACAGGCACUCCCGAGGCACUCCAUGAUGCAGAGGCUGGGGCUGACAUCCCUGGCGUGUCCAGCAGUGUAUGUGGUCUGUGGCUGUCAGCUCCUGCUACCCUGGGUGCUAGCUUUGAAUUUCUGCUGGGUCUGUCGGUGCCUUCAUUUAUUUCACAGGCUCCACCUGUACUUGGCCUAGUGACUCAGCAAUUUGACUAGUUUAGGAGGAAGGCAGAAGGGUAGGAGGCCACAGAGGAAGCCGUGGCUCUUCUGACUUUGCUCAGAUGGGUUUGUCCGCUGGGCCAAGACCACAGGCCUCUCAGGUGCCCCCAGUGUGCACCAACUGGACUCCCGGGCUUGUCCGGAAUCCUGUGCUGCCCUUCAGAGGCUCACCCCGGUUCCAGGCCUGCUCUGUGCCAUCCCAGCUCGGGAGCAGCGGGCGGUGGGGUGCCUCUACCAGCAAAUCUCAGAAAGCAGGAGGGAGGCGGUUUCAUAAUCGGCAAACGCUGGAUGCCGUCCAGGCAGGGAGAGGGAAGCUGGCCUACUUUCAAGGGCUUCAGAAAAGCAGAUUCUGAGCGCCUUGCAGACCUGGGAAGAGUUGCCACCUUCAGGCCAACUGAGGAUGCUCAACGAGGUACCUCCCGGACCAACUCUGUGCCCAUCAGCAGACCAGGAGCCCCAAGGCCAUGCUAGAGUUUGUACCUUGCUGACUGCCUAAAUCUCCUAGUGAAAAGACAGAUCUAUCUGUCCCCACCAAGCUAAGAGGACACAGCUGUUUCUGGCAGUACCCUUUUGAUUCUUUUUUUAAACUUGUUUUGUAGCAUGUUUUCAGUGGCUGCUCUGCAGGAUAGAAAUGCCAGUCUAAGGACCCAGAAGGGGUCCGGGCUACAAAUGACCCUCACAAGCCAGUACAAGGCCUGAAAAGGAGAAGGCUGGCCUCAGUCCGGAAGGAUGGACAACUGGUCAGCAGCCUCUUGUCUGCCUGCCAAGUCAUUCCGAGCCUUCUAGCCCCGAAGCCUUCCACCAUCAAGCUGCCAGGCCCCUCGCUUGCCUGUGGUUCUCCUCAGUCUCUGGCAGUCGUAUUAAGCUGGUUGUCCUGAGUCGGGGACACAGAGGAACUAGCUGUUCCUGGUAGACAAGGCUGACUCAGGUAGAUCCAAGGAGUGUUUGGGUCCUGUGUAGUUACAGUUCCCUCGGGUCCCAACUUCCCAAACUCAGUGAUUCAGAGCUCCCUGGAGCAGUAGAGAACGGAGCAUUACAGGGCACACAGGGAAGAACGCUGAGGAGUUAGCCAGGGAGCCCAAAUCGCUGAUCCAAAGACUCCUCAUGCUCGCAUAAGGCCCAGACAAAUCCCUGGCCUGGGCUCCUGCCUGUAUGACCCUGGGAACACUUCAGGUAGCUCUCUCAGACAGCCUCUGCCUUCAGACUUGCUUUCCACAGAGGCAGUAGGAUGUCUGGAAGUGAUCCCGGAGGGGGGCAAAUGUGGGAGCAUCUAUAAGUUCAGGGACACGUGCCUGGGAAGUUGGGUUACAUGGAAGGGUCCGAGAGUGGGCAAUCCUAUGGACAAAUGGGAGACUCCUUGGAUCUCACCGGAGGCCUCUCUGUUGCUACAGCUGCUCACCUGGCAACCAGACAAAGAGAAGAGGGAUGCGGUUCAAAGCUCAGCUGUGGAUGCCUGGCACCUGCCUCUCAGGUGAUGGAAAGUCACUGGAGAGAGGUCCGUCCACAAAAGACCCUACUUCCCUUAAGAGUGCCCACUUGACUGUGGGGUCCUGCUAAGGGAAAGAAGCACUCCAAGAGCAAGGGGUUCAGUGCCCAGGGCGCAGGCUGCAAUCGAUUCGAGGUGUCCACAUGCCUGGGUUCCUUCCUGUCUUGGCACAGCCCCAAUGAACAUGCACCCCACCCUAUUGAUGGCCCGAGAAACUCUUGUAAAUAAAACCCCCAAUGUUUCUAAAAGAAAUAAAAAGUUUCUCUGAAA